AUUGAACGCUGGCGGCAUGCUUUACACAUGCAAGUCGAACGGCAGCGGGGUAGUGCUUGCACUACUGCCGGCGAGUGGCGAACGGGUGAGUAAUAUAUCGGAACGUACCGAGUAAUGGGGGAUAACCAAUCGAAAGAUUGGCUAAUACCGCAUACGUCCUGAGGGAGAAAGCGGGGGAUCGCAAGACCUCGCGUUAUUCGAGCGGCCGAUAACUGAUUAGCUAGUUGGUGGGGUAAAGGCCUACCAAGGCGACGAUCAGUAGCGGGUCUGAGAGGACGAUCCGCCACACUGGGACUGAGACACGGCCCAGACUCCUACGGGAGGCAGCAGUGGGGAAUUUUGGACAAUGGGGGCAACCCUGAUCCAGCCAUGCCGCGUGUAUGAAGAAGGCCUUCGGGUUGUAAAGUACUUUUGUUAGGGAAGAAAAGGGAUGUGCUAAUACCACUUUUUGCUGACGGUACCUAAAGAAUAAGCACCGGCUAACUACGUG
rnacentral:rRNA from 1 species